CUUGGCCUCGCCUGGUGUGGGCUGUAAUUAGGUCAGUGUAAGUUAAAGUAGGGCUGAGAGAUGAAUAAAGUAGAUUUUCUCCUCUGGAACACUCUGCAGUUUAAUUUCACUUCUUUCUACAAUGUGCGAUGAAGGUGGACUUAACUUUUAAAGGCAAAGAGACAAACCACUGCCAGGAUAAAUGAAAAGACGUAGAGGGGGCGGCUGGCACCAUACAGAAGAGGAAAUGCUUUCUGGCUGGUUCCUAAUUUUCAUAUCCGGGUCAUCGUCAGAAAUCAUUUUCAGAGCAGCCAGAAACACGUUAAUCUGA
rnacentral:lncRNA from 1 species